CCUACGGGAGGCAGCAGUGGGGAAUAUUGGACAAUGGGCGCAAGCCUGAUCCAGCCAUGCCGCGUGAGUGAUGAAGACCCUAGGGUUGUAAAGCUCUUUCACCGAUGAAGAUAAUGACGGUAGUCGGAGAAGAAGCCCCGGCUAACUUCGUGCCAGCAGCCGCGGUAAAU
rnacentral:rRNA from 1 species